GAUGAACGCUGGCGGCGUGCCUAAUACAUGCAAGUCGAACGAGUUCUGAUUAUUGAAAGGUGCUUGCAUCUUGAUUUAAUUUUGAACGAGUGGCGGACGGGUGAGUAACACGUGGGUAACCUGCCCUUAAGUGGGGGAUAACAUUUGGAAACAGAUGCUAAUACCGCAUAAAUCCAAGAACCGCAUGGUUCUUGGCUGAAAGAUGGCGUAAGCUAUCGCUUUUGGAUGGACCCGCGGCGUAUUAGCUAGUUGGUGAGGUAACGGCUCACCAAGGCAAUGAUACGUAGCCGAACUGAGAGGUCGAUCGGCCACAUUGGGACUGAGACACGGCCCAAACUCCUACGGGAGGCAGCAGUAGGGAAUCUUCCACAAUGGACGCAAGUCUGAUGGAGCAACGCCGCGUGAGUGAAGAAGGCUUUCGGGUCGUAAAACUCUGUUGUUGGAGAAGAAUGGUCGGCAGAGUAACUGUUGUCGGCGUGACGGUAUCCAACCAGAAAGCCUCGGCUAACUACGUGCCAGCAGCCGCGGUAAUACGUAGGUGGCAAGCGUUAUCCGGAUUUAUUGGGCGUAAAGCGAGCGCAGGCGGUUUUUUAAGUCUGAUGUGAAAGCCCUCGGCUUAACCGAGGAAGUGCAUCGGAAACUGGGAAACUUGAGUGCAGAAGAGGACAGUGGAACUCCAUGUGUAGCGGUGAAAUGCGUAGAUAUAUGGAAGAACACCAGUGGCGAAGGCGGCUGUCUGGUCUGUAACUGACGCUGAGGCUCGAAAGCAUGGGUAGCGAACAGGAUUAGAUACCCUGGUAGUCCAUGCCGUAAACGAUGAAUGCUAGGUGUUGGAGGGUUUCCGCCCUUCAGUGCCGCAGCUAACGCAUUAAGCAUUCCGCCUGGGGAGUACGACCGCAAGGUUGAAACUCAAAGGAAUUGACGGGGGCCCGCACAAGCGGUGGAGCAUGUGGUUUAAUUCGAAGCAACGCGAAGAACCUUACCAGGUCUUGACAUCUUUUGAUCACCUGAGAGAUCAGGUUUCCCCUUCGGGGGCAAAAUGACAGGUGGUGCAUGGUUGUCGUCAGCUCGUGUCGUGAGAUGUUGGGUUAAGUCCCGCAACGAGCGCAACCCUUAUGACUAGUUGCCAGCAUUUAGUUGGGCACUCUAGUAAGACUGCCGGUGACAAACCGGAGGAAGGUGGGGAUGACGUCAAAUCAUCAUGCCCCUUAUGACCUGGGCUACACACGUGCUACAAUGGAUGGUACAACGAGUUGCGAGACCGCGAGGUCAAGCUAAUCUCUUAAAGCCAUUCUCAGUUCGGACUGUAGGCUGCAACUCGCCUACACGAAGUCGGAAUCGCUAGUAAUCGCGGAUCAGCACGCCGCGGUGAAUACGUUCCCGGGCCUUGUACACACCGCCCGUCACACCAUGAGAGUUUGUAACACCCGAAGCCGGUGGCGUAACCCUUUUAGGGAGCGAGCCGUCUAAGGUGGGACAAAUGAU
rnacentral:rRNA from 1 species